rnacentral:rRNA from 1 species
CCUACGGGUGGCAGCAGUGGGGAAUAUUGCACAAUGGGGGGAACCCUGAUGCAGCGACGCCGCGUGAGUGAAGAAGUAUCUCGGUACGUAAAGCUCUAUCAGUAGGGAAGUAAAUGACGGUACCUGAAUAAGAAGCCCCGGCUAACUACGUGCCAGCAGCCGCGGUAAUGCGUAGGGGGCAAGCGUUAUCCGGAUUUACUGAGUGUAAAGGGAGCGUAGACGGCACUGAAAGUCCGGUGUGAAGGCCCAAGGCUUAACCAUGGGACUGCUGUGGAAACUGUGGAGCUUGAGUGCGGGAGGGGCAGGCGGAAUUCCUGGUGUAGCGGUGAAAUGCGUAGAUAUUAGGAGGAACACCGGCGGCGAAGGCGGCCUGCUGGACCGUAACUGACGUUGAGGCUCGAAAGCGUGGGGAGCAAACAGGAUUAGAUACCCGUGUAGUC